UUUACAAGUAAUACUUCACAUUGAACGCCAGGUUGGUAUCUGAAGAGUGAAAUAUUAAGAAGCUGGUAUAUCGCUCACAAGAGAGCAAGGAUAUCGGGGUUUCCCAUUAGAUUUCUAAAUUUGUCAGAUACGAUGCAUACAACUAAGUCAAUUUCGGUGCUCAGUAUUUGCUGUUUGGUUUUACUUGAUCAAAUGUAUUUUGGAAGCUGUAGUAAAGAUGAACUUAGUAUAAUGUUGCCCACUGAACAUAUUAACUCAGAUGAGAAAACUGAAUACUCGCGGUUCAACCGCGAUUUUGCUAGAUGGAUUCCUUGGCGACCAACAGAAAAUCCAUCAAUGGAUGACGACGAACUUUUCGACUUCGAUUGAAAACGACAAUAGCCGCUUCAUUAUGAGAAUCAAAGCUGUUGAUGUGAUAAUUGUCUAUUAUUUACAUCAUCAAUAAAUCAUA